UCAUUUAGAAAUUUACAUUUUAAUUCGUAUUGUGUCGACUUGAGAUUUAUCAAGUGACGUUUAAAGAUUAUUAAUUCCAAUUUCGUAAUAUUAAAAUUUAAAAUCUUAUACGUUUUAAAUGUUCAAACCAAAUUUAUUAGUUCUGGAACUAUAGAUUCGUCUGAUGGAUCUCAAGUAGACGUAAUAAUAAAUUCAAAUCCGGCUCGAAUCGGUUUCCUGAUAGCCGUCACAAGUGGUAACGAACGCGCGCGGUACCUAUUGUUGUCGGUAUCUUGGUAUAUUGGAAACGAUUUUCGACUGGACGCGUCGUAGCGUCGUUUCCAUUAAUUUACAGAAUAAACACUACAAACUGCUCGUCAUUCGGUACGUCGUUCGAGUUCGUUUAGUGUUUUUUCAGCCUUUUUUCUGUUUAAUAUCCGCGUUCGCUCAGAUAUUACUGUUUCGUUGUUGAAUAUCGCUCGCGUGCUACAAGCGUCGUUUACUCGUUCGUCAUUUUAUUAACCGCGAUUCAGCAAUCUGUAAGUUCGCGUAGUUCGAUACUAUAGUCAUUGACUGAGUCCAACAGAAUAGUUUUGCCUGGUGCACGUCGUCGUCGUCGACUUGCUAUAUUGUAUAAUUUUGAAUAUAAUAGUUAAAAAAAAAUUAGAUACAAUGGGUUACAACUUACGCUUCCCUUGGUCACUAUGGUACCAUAGUAUUUAUGAUGAAGAAUUGAAUGGAAAUUAUGUUCAAUUAUCUACCAUCGGUACACAAUCAAGUAAUGUGUUAUUUCCGGUAAAGGCUGCCAUGAAGGACGCAUCUGAGAUGAGCUACUUUGACUUCAGAGGUGCUGACCUUGCAGAAACUUUUAAAAAAUUUCAAUUUUUACUUUUUGGUAAAGUGUACAAUAUAAAAUAUUUUGAUGCAUUUAAA